rnacentral:lncRNA from 7 species
UUCUUCAGAACAGCAAUGUGUUGUACCUCUAAACAGUCCACCAGAGCUUCAGCUAUGGAUUAUCUUAUUAAACUUGACCUAGACAGAAUGGGGAGUUGGGCAGGGAAGAGCCUGAUGAAGUUCAACAAGAGCAAGCGUAGAGUGGUCCUGCACAUGGGGAAGAAUAUCUGCAUGCGUCAGUGCAGGUAUGAGAGUAGCAGGAGUAUGAGCCAAGAGGUCACUCCUCGGAGAACUUGCCCUAAAGCCAGCUGAAGAACAAAUAAGCGGAUGAAGGAGUAACUUUGCAUAACUGAUCUGUAGCUCACUUUGACAUGGCUUUUUUUUAAGGGUGCUUAUGGCAAUGUCACACAGUUGUCUGCAAAGAUAUUGAAGGAAUUAAGCACCUAUUUAACUCAUCUCACACCAAUUUCUCUUAAACAUAGAGGAGUAACUUUGGAGGAAAAAAAAAUGCUUCUUUGUCUUGUAUUACUUGAGAUUUUUCAUCUUCUCUCACAAAUGUGACAGGAAAUAAAAUAGGGCUCAGGAGAUACUUAAGUACUACAGAACAGUAAUACAUGUAUGCUUUAAUGCGUAUUACAUAUAUAAAUAAAAUACAUAAAUUUUUUGAUUUUUCACCUCAUUCCUAUGAGCAAAUUGAAUAUCACUGUUACUUUACAAGUUGCACAAGUUGUGCCUAACUUUUUAAUGAAGGAGGACUCAGGAAGCUUCAGAUUGAUCACUCCCAUCUUGACUUCUGAGGAGCUGAUGGAGUAACUAGUCCUGGAAACCAUUCACAGGCACAUGAAAUAACGGUGGAUAUUGUCUGUGUUGACUUUAGUAAGAAUUUUGACAAUGUCUCCUACUGUAUCCUCAUAGAAAAGCUGGAUUAAAAGGCAUUGAAGCCAUCUGAAAACUCUCUAGUUGCACAGUGAACCCUAAUGGUCAAUAGUAAGUCUAACACUGUACAGUAACUUUACGGAUGGUCUUAUAUUGUUCAUGGUCUUAUAUUUUUCAUUGAACUUGUAAGUAUCCAAUGAGCAAUGCAAGUGUUGUUCAUUACUUGCAUGUUUUAUUAUUUUUUUUAAUGUGUAUAAAAAAGAAAAACAACACAGAGGAAGAGAUAACUUUGGUGCCCAGUAUAUAUAAGUGGAUGAUGUCUUCUUGUUUUUCAAUUGGCCUGGUACCCAAGUUAUCUUCUCCUCCAUACCCAUUCUUACUCAAAGUUUAUAGAAGUCUGAAGUGCCAAUAUUUCAGUCACUCACACAGAUGAAACUGACUGUUCCUAUCUGGCAACAUCAUUCAGAAAUCCUAGCAAUGAACUCUGUUUUUUCAAGCACAAUUUUUUUUUAGCCUCUUCUGUUUGAGAACAUUCCCAACAAACAUUUACUCUGUGUGUAGAAUGUAACAUUUUG